UACGUAGGGGGCAAGCGUUGUCCGGAUUUAUUGGGCGUAAAGAGCGUGUAGGCGGCUUUGCAAGUCCGUUGUGAAAACUCGAGGCUCAACCUCGAGACGCCGGUGGAAACUGCAAAGCUAGAGUCCGGAAGAGGAGAGUGGAAUUCCUGGUGUAGCGGUGAAAUGCGCAGAUAUCAGGAAGAACACCCGUGGCGAAGGCGGCUCUCUGGGACGGUACUGACGCUGAGACGCGAAAUCGUGGGGAGCGAACAGG
rnacentral:rRNA from 1 species